GACGAACGCUGGCGGCGUGCUUAACACAUGCAAGUCGAACGGAAAGGCCCUGCUUUUGUGGGGUGCUCGAGUGGCGAACGGGUGAGUAACACGUGAGUAACCUGCCCUUGACUUUGGGAUAACUUCAGGAAACUGGGGCUAAUACCGGAUAGGAGCUCCUGCUGCAUGGUGGGGGUUGGAAAGUUUCGGCGGUUGGGGAUGGACUCGCGGCUUAUCAGCUUGUUGGUGGGGUAGUGGCUUACCAAGGCUUUGACGGGUAGCCGGCCUGAGAGGGUGACCGGCCACAUUGGGACUGAGAUACGGCCCAGACUCCUACGGGAGGCAGCAGUGGGGAAUAGUGCACAAUGGGCGGAAGCCGGAUGCAGAACGCCGCGUGCGGGAUGACGGCCUUCGGGUUGUAAACCGCUUUCGCCUGUGACGAAGCGUGAGUGACGGUAAUGGGUAAAGAAGCACCGGCUAACUACGUG
rnacentral:rRNA from 1 species